UACGGGGGGAGCAAGCGUUGUUCGGAUUUACUGGGCGUAAAGGGCGCGUAGGCGGCCACCGCAAGUCGGUUGUGAAAUCUCUGGGCUUAACCCAGAAAGGUCAACCGAUACUGCGGGGCUAGAGUGCAGAAGGGGCAACUGGAAUUCUCGGUGUAGCGGUGAAAUGCGUAGAUAUCGAGAGGAACACCUGCGGCGAAAGCGAGUCUCUGGACGGCCUCUGUCACUGAAGCACGAAAGCUAGGGGAGCAAACAGG
rnacentral:rRNA from 1 species